CACCGCCCGUCACACCAUGGGAGCGGGUUUCACCAGAAGCAGACAGCUUAACCGCAAGGAGGGCAUCUGCCACGGUGGGAUUCGUGACUGGGGUG
rnacentral:rRNA from 1 species